rnacentral:hammerhead_ribozyme from 1 species
UUCCAUCUGACGAGUCCCAAACAGGACGAAACGCGCGUCCUGGAU